CCCUUAGAUGUUCUGGGCCGCACGCGUGCUACACUGAGUGGAUCAGCGGGUCAGGUUGCGCGAAAGCGUUUCCUAAUCUUUAAAUCCGCUCGUGAUGGGGAUUGACGGUUGCAAUUUUCUGUCAUGAACGAGGAAUACCUUGUAAGCGCGGGUCAUCAUCCCGCGCUGAAUACGUCCCUGCCCUUUGUACACACCGCCCGUCGCUCCUACCGAUUGAGUGGUCCGGUGAGGCUUUGCGAUCUGAGCGGAAAGAGCGUUUCGCUGUUUCUGCUCGGAAAACUCAGUCGAACCUUAUCAUUUAGAGGAAGGAGAAGUCGUAACA
rnacentral:rRNA from 1 species